AGAGUUUGAUCCUGGCUCAGGAUGAACGCUGGCGGCGUGCUUAACACAUGCAAGUCGAACGAUCCUUCGGGAUAGUGGCGGACGGGUGAGUAACGCGUGGGAAUCUGCCCUCAGGAGGGGGAUAACGGCUGGAAACGGCCGCUAAUACCCCAUAUGCCGAGAGGUGAAAUGAAUUUCGCCUGAGGAUGAGCCCGCGUCUGAUUAGCUAGUUGGUGGGGUAAAGGCCUACCAAGGCAACGAUCAGUAGCUGGUCUGAGAGGAUGAUCAGCCACACUGGGACUGAGACACGGCCCAGACUCCUACGGGAGGCAGCAGUGGGGAAUUUUCCGCAAUGGGCGAAAGCCUGACGGAGCAACGCCGCGUGAGGGAUGAAGGCCUCUGGGCUGUAAACCUCUUUUCUCAAGGAAGAAGACCUGACGGUACUUGAGGAAUAAGCCACGGCUAAUUCCGUGCCAGCAGCCGCGGUAAUACGGGAGUGGCAAGCGUUAUCCGGAAUUAUUGGGCGUAAAGCGUCCGCAGGCGGCCUUGUAAGUCUGUUGUUAAAGCGUGGAGCUCAACUCCAUUUAAGCAAUGGAAACUACAAGGCUGGAGUGUGGUAGGGGCAGAGGGAAUUCCCGGUGUAGCGGUGAAAUGCGUAGAUAUCGGGAAGAACACCAGUGGCGAAGGCGCUCUGCUGGGCCAUAACUGACGCUCAUGGACGAAAGCCAGGGGAGCGAAAGGGAUUAGAUACCCCUGUAGUCCUGGCCGUAAACGAUGAACACUAGGUGUCGGGGGAAUCGACCCCCUCGGUGUCGUAGCCAACGCGUUAAGUGUUCCGCCUGGGGAGUACGCACGCAAGUGUGAAACUCAAAGGAAUUGACGGGGGCCCGCACAAGCGGUGGAGUAUGUGGUUUAAUUCGGUGCAACGCGAAGAACCUUACCAGGGUUUGACAUCCUGCGAACCCCUGAGAAAUCGGGGGGUGCCUUCGGGAGCGCAGAGACAGGUGGUGCAUGGCUGUCGUCAGCUCGUGUCUUGAGAUGUUGGGUUAAGUCCCGCAACGAGCGCAACCCACGUCUUUAGUUGCCAGCAUUCAGUUGGGCACUCUAGAGAGACCGCCGGUGAUAAACCGGAGGAAGGUGUGGAUGACGUCAAGUCAUCAUGCCCCUUACAUCCUGGGCUACACACGUACUACAAUGCUACGGACAAAGGGCAGCAAGCUCGCGAGAGUUAGCAAAUCCCAUAAACCGUGGCUCAGUUCAGAUCGUAGGCUGCAACUCGCCUACGUGAAGGAGGAAUCGCUAGUAAUCGCAGGUCAGCAUACUGCGGUGAAUACGUUCCCGGGCCUUGUACACACCGCCCGUCACACCAUGGAAGUU
rnacentral:rRNA from 1 species